GGAGGGGCUGGUCAGAUUACAGCUUCUGUAUUGUUGUGCCUGAUAGCAGCCUGUUAAUAUUUUAUCAGUGAUCACAUCACAGCAUGUGGGGAGCCACCCUUUAGGGCACAAGAGAGCGAUAACCUGCUGGACUUCCUGUUUGAGCACCCCCCCUCUCCGCCUGUUGAGAUAACAGAAUUUCUCAUCAAAGCUGGGAGCCGCUGGCUCAGACCGCGAGACCAGGCUAGGCAGAGGCCAGGCUUCAGCCAGCUGAGGAGGAGCACAUGUGCUUCCCAGACCUGGGGCCCCCAUGUCCCAGUGUGGGCAGCUGUGGCCCGAGUGACCCCCCCUCCCUCCAUGAGCCCAGGGCUGAGUGAGAGGGAGCAGUUGAGCCUGAGAGGCCUCGUUUGGCUUCCUUUCGCACUGGGCCCCUCCUCUCUUCUCUCCCUGCUCCCACAUCCGUGUUUCUCCUCUGGUCCAGGGCCAAACGGCUUCAGAUUACCUGGAUGGGCACUGCCUCGGCUGCAGUCUCCAGACACCUGCCCAGGAGGAGGAGGUGGGGCGGGGGGGAGAAGCUGAGGCCCUGGCUCAUCCCCAGCAUUUAGAGCCACAUAGGGGACCCACAGCCACAUAGGGGACCCACAAGGCAAAGUCAAAGAUCUCCUAGCUCACUGUGCAGCCAAUCCCCGUUUCCUCCUAAGCACUGCCUUCUGUCCUAUUUCUCUCUCUCUCUCUCUCUCUCUCUCUUUUUUUUUGGCUUUUUAGGGCUGCACCAAUGGCAUUUGGGGGUUCCCAGGCUAGGGGUCCAAUCAGAGCUGUAGCUGCUGGCCUACACCACAGCCACAGCCACGCCGGAUCCGAGCCGCGUCUGCAAACUACACCACGGCUCAGGGCAAUGCCGGAUCCUUAACCCACUGAGCGAGGGCAGGGAUCGAACCCGCAACCUCAUGCUUCCUAGUCGGAUUCCUUUCCACUGCGCCACAACGAGACCUCCCUCCCCUAUGUCUCUUUCCCAUCACCCUUUGGCUAGAGGAAGCAGCUUCUUUGGAUCAUCCUUCCCCCAGAAGCUCCAGUAGUGCCAGACCCUCAUUUCCUCUGGACUGAGAUUUGAGAGAAUUUACAGACUGUUUUUUGCACGGGCCCCUGACAUACCCUACCUUACGGUACUUU
rnacentral:lncRNA from 1 species